UGGGGAAUUUGGACAAUGGGCGAAAGCCUGAUCCAGCAAUGCCGCGUGUGUGAAGAAGGCCUUCGGGCUGUAAAGCACUUUUGUCCGGAAAGAAAUCCUUGGCUCUAAUACAGUCGGGGGAUGACGGUACCGGAAGAAUAAGCACCGGCUAACUACGUGCCAGCAGCCGCGGUAAUACGUAGGGUGCAAGCGUUAAUCGGAAUUACUGGGCGUAAAGCGUGCGCAGGCGGUUUGCUAAGACCGAUGUGAAAUCCCCGGGCUCAACCUGGGAACUGCAUUGGUGACUGGCAGGCUAGAGUAUGGCAGAGGGGGGUAGAAUUCCACGUGUAGCAGUGAAAUGCGUAGAGAUGUGGAGGAAUACCGAUGGCGAAGGCAGCCCCCUGGGCCAAUACUGACGCUCAUGCACGAAAAGCGUGGGGAGCAAACAGGAUUAGAUACCCUGGUAGUCCACGCCCUAAAACGAUGUCAACUAGUUGUUGGGGAUUCAUUUCCUUAGUAACGUAGCUAACGCGUGAAGUUGACCGCCUGGGGAGUACGGCCGCAAGAUUAAAACUCAAAUAAAUUGACGGGGUCAUAGCUGUUUCCU
rnacentral:rRNA from 1 species